CUUUUGCGCAGCAUCCCGUUAUCGCGUCACGUGGCGUCCGCUACGUCCAAUGGUGUACGCGCACUCUUUCGCCGAAUUCGGUGUGAGGUGCUCGCGUCCUCACGUGAGGGAAGGUAGCGUUGCUGCCACGUCCGAUAUUUCGAAAUGAAUUGCGUUCGUAAGGCGUUUUCUAGCAUAACAUGGCACGAGCAGCGACGCCCUCUUCAAGGGACACUACUUCCGCAGGUACCACGCAGUAGCGUUGGGAGGCGGGGGAUUUUCUAUGGGAAGAAGGAUUUCACCCCAGUUUUCCCUCUCGCAAAUGCACUACCACAGUCCAGGAAAAGGAACAGCCUGCUCGACGAACAAGAAAUGAACUAUCCAGAGGACAGGGCAUGCGCUAUAUGCAAGUAAUCCAGCUGUCUGCGCAGCUUCCCUGUUGCCCUCUCUCCCAUGUUUCCCGUGGAGCGACCUCAUUGGUUUCUCUCCCAAAUAAAGCGGGCAACAUUUCAAGACAGAGCGUGACAGACCAGAGCGAUGGCUGACGGGACUGAGGUAAGGGCCACGUACGUCCACUGCCACUCGACGACUGCUAUCCUUCGCAGGAUUGGGGACUGCAGCGUGUCGUGACGUCAAUGAAGUGCCCGCGGGCCCACUUUUCUCUCUCUGACGCAAGUAUGCGGAUCGCCACAUCGAUAAACCCAACGCAGCUGUCUGUCUCCCAGUACUUACGGCAGAUGCCGACUCUGUCCUGCGCGCGAUACUACCUUGUGAUGUAGAGUCAUGGUAGAGUACUAGAAUAGUAGUAUACAAGAACCAACAUGUUGCCUUUGGACGGGGUUGCCCAGAAUGGGGAAAGCUAUACCACGCUAUACUUUUGCUUUUGCGCUAUGUGAUUCAUGCUGUUAUGCUGUUCUGGAGGAGAUUGAAUACUGCCCCAAAUAAACAAAUCCCUUUGAAAGUGUGACUCAUCCCGAAACGACAACGCAGCAGGAUGAAUCACAUCGCGGCGGUUGCUCUCUGUACACACUUGUUUCCCAUAGGUGAGCAAGAGCCGUUUGGAACAGCUGUAGCAGUGGAAUUAAGUAUUUCAAAUGCAACAAGGAAGGCCAAAGGGCUCCAAACGUUUGCGGGAAUGGUACAGAAAUCAUUCGUCGACGGCUACGCCGCAUCUUCGAAUGCUACCGCUUUAAAGUAUCGCUUUCCUUGUGACACCUUGUGUCUGCAUGUUGUGACACGGAGGAACCAACAAUUCCAUCACAAGGGCAUCAAAUACAUGCCUUGAUCCCCUUGAUCUCAGGAUGUGCGAAACCUCCUCACUCCCCUUCCCGGCCCUUUCAUGCUUAUCGGGUAGAGGAUCUUACAUUCUCUCUGCCAAGGCAGAUUGUUUGGAGGAUUUGCACGUUCGCUCUAAGUAAGAAAAAUUGCUGUCUUCGCAUGACUGCAUUCACCGGUGGUGGUGGUGGUGAAAACUGCUCGCCGUGGUUGGCCACGCUCCGCAUUCACCGGCAUCGCGCUGACACUCACAUAUGAGACAGACUGGCCAUUGCCUAAUGAACGGAUUGAUGUAUGGUGAAGCUGUUUCAGUAUACGUAUUUCAAGUCACCCAUCCUGCACCGCUUGUCCAAGACCCUUGGCCCAUGCAUCUCCAUGCACUGCGCCAUCAGCUCUCGCUUUGCUUUCCUUCGAGCUUCACGAACUCUAAACCACCGACCUGUCAUCGUUUUGAGCUCUCCUCUAUUUCACAUCCUCUCAAGCAUCCCAUGUCAUCAUUACUAUUGAUUGUUGCACUGCAUUGUUACUUAACACUUAGCCGAUUUUCUCUUUAUACACAAAGUUGUUGCGCCACUCAGCUCCAUAUAUUUCUCUUCAAUAUGCCCGUCGAGUAUAAUGAAUUUGAGUAAAUUCGGAACGCUCUUCACCUUGGUGGUGUAAAAAAGUGACUUUUACUCGGUAAAUUUCCGAGUUCAGUUCGCAAAAAUUUACACAAUAAAACUUACGUUACAUGACAUUCACAUCAGGAAGUGGCAAAAACAUAUAGUAAGAACAAAUGCCGUUGACCCCAUGAUUGUAGGUGACGUAGUUUUUUUCUUAUUAUAAUUCAAUGACACGUUUUCUGGGACACUCUGUAUAUAUUCUGUGGCUCGAGGGCCCUUGGCCACCAAACAGAGGAAGGAAAGCUGCCCAGUCAGAAAAAUAAGAAUUAGAAAUCAAGCCAGAUUUUUAGGCAUUGUUUUCACCCUGCUCGGCGUAGUGCAUGCUACCCCUGUCCAUGUUAGAGUCACUAAAUAGGGGUACAGAGUAUCGCGUUCCUUUUCCGCGCCGGUGCCUCCGUCCGAUGUCCGCGAUUGGGCCGAUUGUGUCACGUGAUUUCUCCUUCCAAGAAGGCGCCGUCCAUGUUGAGUCCCCUCCACCCAAAACCGGUUUCCUCGGUUGCGAGCUGGCUCAAGAGCGCGCAGUUCUCCGGUGGAGAAGGGGGAGAUUGGUGUCCCAUUGCUAGGCGACGCAGCCGCGCCGGACACAAGAUGGCGGGCUCGCUCGCUGGCGUGGCUCAGUGUCGCUACUCUGCUUCCUAUUUAGUGACUCUAGUCCAUGUUAGGCAGCACAUACGCAUAUGCAUGAGCACUUCUUGUGGCUCACGAACCUCAACGAGUUAUCGUCACAGCAACCUGGUCUUCGCGUGCACUUCGGUAAACUAACACUGUAACUAAUGUGAGCAAUGGCUCAACUUAAUUUUUACAAGCUUGUAUUUACAAGCUUAAGUUUACAAGCUUAUAUAUAGAAGAAGCAGCCUCUCCCGAAUAUCAACCGCGGAAAUUAGAAAGGAGUACAAAAAGGCAGAGAGAGAGAGAGAGAGAGAAAAGAGAGACGAAACAGUUGUGUACAAGGCCCAUUGUAUUUAAUUCUUGAAUUCUUGCUGUUCCUCUCUCAUUUUUCUAUCUAUUUUUCCAAGUUGAAACUGUAUGCAAAGGCAACACAAAUAAGAUACAAUUUUAGUGCUCCUGAGGUUUGUGAAGAACUAUAUGUACGUAUUUUUCGCAGGGAAGGAUAACGGAGGUAUUUUCGUUACCGUUUCCAUUUUCGUUACCGCUAUAUUUUCGUUUCCGUUAUCCGUUUCUGAUACCAGCAUUUAAUUUCGUUUCCGUUACGUUUCCGUUACUGUUUCCGGUAAUGGAACGGCUGUUACAGAGCUGCGUGAGGACAGCCAGUCCGGCUCUGUCAGCACCCUGUUUUGCCCAAGUGCUGCUUCGCUGUCCCGCGUACACACUACACAAGUAAUUUUACGUCGUUGGGAUGCGCACAUCUUGCAAAAUUUUCAAAGAAGUAUAGGAACAUGUCUUCAGCCAUACUGCUGUCUUCAGUCACUCUGAGUCCAGCAACCCAAGAUGGGCGUAACUUUCAUCCAAUGUCACAUCAUAGGCGGACGCUCUCAGAUGUAAACAAUACUGCCAUAGCCACGGUGAAAUGAAGAAAGUAAAAAAUAAAAAUAAAAAAGCAUAUGCUGUCAUCGCUGUGCUAUAGUGGAGUAGAGUGUGUGGAGUCUAUGUUGUGUAGGUCUCGUGUCUUGAUGUCAUGUAGGUAGGUAAUGUCACGAGUAGGUAAGCGGGUGAUGCACCUUCGGUAUCCAAUAUUGCGCUGUUUCCAUGCUGUCGUGUAGUAUUUAGAGAAUUACAGGGAAUGGAAUCAUCAAAAUACAAAAAUAAAAUGAAAAGUCACUCAAAUGUCAUCGCACAACAGUAAUAGCCAUUACCGGAAUUCAAUACCGGACGAUAAUUUUUGUUUCCGUUUCUGUUUCCGGUAAUGGAGGACAAAGGUACGCGUUUCCGUUUCCGUUACCAUCUCCAAUUUCGGUAAUAUACCGUUUCUGUUUCCGUUACCAUUACCGAUACCCUUCCCUGAUUUUUCACAUUGUACGUUUCAUGUUUUCGGUACCCGAUUUGGAAGGACAUUGAUCUUGCGUGUCAAUGAAUUGUGCCGUUUGGCUCCACAAUGACUCCCUAUUUUAUCGUACACAUUUUAUUGUAUGGUGUUUUAAAGGCAUUUUAGGGUUAGUACGGUUAUUCUUUUUCUCAAAUUUCGUUUCUUCGUUCCCUCCAUGAUUUGAUCAAAUGUCACAGCGACCCGGGACUCGAUUUGAGUUUGAGGACCUCGGAGAAGUAUACUUAUACUGAGUAGCGGAUGGAGCAGAAGCGUGACGCAAAGCGGGGCUCUGAAGUAGCCAGGCCUGAACAUUUCAUGCCAAACUAGACAGAAAGUUGCCCAAGGGUCCAUGAAGAAAUUCCCAAAAAUAUCGAGUUCUCAGUGGAGAACGGCUCGCAAGGAGGCCUGUUAUCUGAAAUAUAUCCUAUUUUUGCCAUAUUGCAUUCAACGCGGGCGCAGUUCACGCACAAAGAAAGCGUUCAGCGUUCGCCUGACAUACCCUCUGCAAGCGGACUGACGUCACUUACAUCCUUUGCUCACUCCAAGUCCAAGGUUGCACAGAGCUAUCCCGUUAGUGGCCAAGGUCGCCUGCUUUUGACGUCACAGCCAGUUUCUCCAUCAUGCCGGCAGCGAUGGCGUCGAAGCAGUGCUUUUUUAUUGUUGCCGUGGUUUUUAGUUAAUAUCUCCGUUAUUCCAACCAAUAUUGGAUUCAUACUCCACAUGAUGAAGGCAUUAGCGGCUAUGAAUGCAUUACAUAUGCUUGCAGAGGUUUUUGGGAUCUCUUCAUAGUUCCUGUAACGACGCCGUGAGAAGACAACAAUCACAACAUAUACAUCGAUAAUAUUGUGCAUGAGAGACAGCUUGAUGAACGAAACAGAGUUUCGAGCAAUGCUGAUUGGUAACUGUCACUUCUUUAGCGUAGAAGGUAGCAGCACACAUACGUCCAGAAACCACUGUCGUCUGCUUACCUGUCACGUUCCAUAAAAAAAAAAAAAAAAAAGCGCCCGUUUGCGUCGCACUCUCGACCUCUUCGAGGCGCUAGCGGUAAAACAGCAAAGUAAGAAGUAAGACAUAGUAAGUAAAGUGUAGGUUGUCGGUUGUUGUACAUUGGAAAUGAAGGGCAUAAGCAAACGAGACAACAAGUUGAGCGCGAAUCGCUUUGUCUUGUGCGCCAAUACGCUCUUCAUUUCCAAUGUCACUUUGUCGCUCCUUUGAGUGCCUUUUUUUUUUUUUUUUCAGCUUCUUUUUGUUUCUCUGGAAGUUUUCCGUGCUCAGUACCAUUCGGGAAAUUCGAUGUUUUUCAACACGAUAGCAUGUGCAAAUAUGCAUAUAGGGUGAUCCAAGUAUAUGUGUAUAACCAACUGAAUCCCGACCACGUCACAACGCGCUCGCGUAAUCGCGGCGCGCGACACUUGCGCGUGAGUUGAGUUGUGAAAUAAUAAUGGUACUGUGACGUUACACGUAAGGUUUGUCUGCGCAGUGUGGCGACAUGCUGCACGUGCCGCAGGGUAGGACUGCGGAUAAUUUGGACCACCUGGGGUUCUUUUGACGUGCGCCGGAAAUCUCUGACACACACGGCGCUGGAAGCAAUGUUUACCUCCCUAACAUUGCUACCGUCCUUGUUGCGUGAGUUGUCACGUGACACUUAUUUUGUAGAACAGACAACAUUUCCUUGCGUCCGAGAAAGGUAACAAAUAAGGACGGAGACACGUACGAAGUUGACACGGAGACUCACACUCUUAUGUACUUUGCAGGCAGUUGCUUUUCAAGCCGGAAACGAAAGUCACACAAAGCACACCUCAUUGGAGACACACAUCGGUCAGGUUCUACCGUUCUACAACUUUAGAAUUGACACCUGGGAUUACUACGAUUAAAUUUCGUGUUUUCAGAAUCCCACCAAAGUUAUGUUACUGAGAUCUUCUUGUCUCACUUUACAUUCCUGCAAAAUAUUUUGGCUCUACGUAACGCGAAAGCUAGAGAAAAUUAAUUUUUAUUUUUGAGAAUGUGACGUCAUGUUAGGCUCCGACGGAGCGCCCGGUUCUCAUCUGGCAACGUUGUUGCACUUGGCGUCUUCCGGGGGGCUCACUUUUUGCACUCCGUUAGCGGAGCACCACGUGACAUAUCAUGCGAACGCUCCGACCUUCGAGGAAAACAAAGGAGGGACAAGACAUCUCUCCCAUUUUCCCCUGUUUCGAUCAGUGUCACGUGACUUCUCCACCACGUGACCCUCCCCGGACGCCGGCGUCGUUGCUAGGAGACGAGCGCCCUCUCCAGAGCAUGACAUCAUUGCAAUUUGAGGGCUUAUGAUUACGUCACCCACUCCUCGCGUCAUCGAAACUUGUGGAGGCUCAGCAGAUCUUCAAAAAUUGACAGAAAUGCACAGCGUUCGUAAACAGGAUUGAAAUUUCGCGUAUCGAAUCCUUGAGGCGCCUUCUUUUCGUGGACUAAAUAAAAUAAACGCUGUUUUCCGAGUUCGGAGUGGCACUUUAAUCCAACAUUUUAUAAGUCAGCUAUUUAGUAUUACCUAAUUAAUUAAUUAACUGGGCAAACUGAAAAAAAUACUAACGACUAAUUACGCAACCCAGUUGUUUAAUUUUUGUUACAUAUUAGCUAAACAGGGUGCCCGAGAUAACGUGUCAUUGCAUGAAUUAUAAUGAAAAAAAAACUACAUCACCUAGAAGCUGGGUUUCCGACCUGUCGGACUGACAACGAUUGCGCUCAAAAAGUCAUCUCGCGCUAUGCUCCAGGUGCUCCGAGCAGUGGCGUAGCCACGGGGGGCUAAGGGGGGGCUCGAGCCCCCCCUACCUGCCACGGACCGACUCACGCGAAUCGUGCAAGUCCGAAGAGAACGUAAUAUAAGGGGGUGGGGGGCAGUCUGACGAUCACGAAAGUUCUUGCAGAUCAUGGCGUCUAUCUAAGCAGCACUCUUGAAUGGUUUUCAAUGUAUGAGCUUUUCAAAAUGCUUCCAAUUUCGUGACACCAUCUCCUUGGUCAUGGCAGCCUAUACAUGUAAUCGUAUUGUGAAUGUCCAAAUCAACUUUUCUUUUUUCAUCCGCACUUUGCAGUGUGCACAGAUAUGUGUCUGUUCUCGCUCACAGAGUCAGCGGGGGGGGGGGGGGGGCGAGC